UGACUAGUCUUGCAAAAUUUACAAAUAUUAUGCUGAUUCUUGUUGUUUGACUUCUCCAAUAAUCCUUAUCUUAUCACCAUACUUAUCUUGUUCAUUUGCACUUAGGCAGCUGAGGAAAAUGGUUCUAUAGUUAAAUCAUCAAAACUAGUCUUGUAAAAUUUACAAAUAUUAUGCUGAUUCUUGUUGUUUGACUUCUCCAAUAAUCAUUAUUCAACGUGCCAUUUUAACCUAAAUUACAGUAGUCUUGUCCGAACAAGAAGGUAGGCACAUAGCAAUGACAGAUUGCUCAGCAACAUCAUGAUGGUAGCACAAGAAUUAUUAUUAAACAACUUGUGUAAAGGAAUCUUUGCAAGGCACUCAUUGAUAGGAUUAUCAGCAACUACAGGCAUAUGCGGCUUGUAUGUUGAAUGCAAGAUACAGACAAAUGUAUAAUAUCUUUUCAAACCAAUCUCAUUUCUGCCUACAGCACUGCAGUGAUUGCAUCCAAGCCUAGCAGAUACCAAUGACAGAUCUCAUACUAUUGGAUUAUGCAUCACCAUACAAAUCUGCCAUCUAAAAUUAUGAUUUGGGGUGCCACUGAAUUUUACUCCUGCACCUCCCUAAUAUGUAUUGCUGACAUACUUAAUAGCUACCACUACACAUCUGAAGUUUGAUUUUGUGCUCCUGUCUUACUUUCAAGAUCUGCCAGUGGCCCCGUUUCAGCAGUUAAAUACAUGACAGGCAAUAUUUAAUAAUACUUUACUUGCUAACUAGGUCCCAUUAUUGCUUUGACCCACAUAUUUUCCUGACAUGUCAUCCAUCAAAUAUGUCUUGGUUGAUGGCUGGCGAAUAAGUGUCCCAGCAUUACAGCACCUGCAUCUGGUGAACUUUGACAGCAUAGACUAACAUACUCCAAGCUCAAGCGUAAAGACGCUUUCUUUAAAUGUAAAGGCUAUAUAAAAUGCUCUUUUCUUCAUGAUCUAUAAGUCAAAUGAUCAGUUUACUCUCGUUUUUUGUUCUUCAUGAUGCAGCAUUUUAGAUGCUUCUGCUACUGCUAAAAUAUCGCCGCUGCUCUGCUUUUCAACCUAAAAGCAUGUCGCUCCCAAUAACCUGUGCAUAUGAGAAAUUAUUGUAAUUGUUCAUGAUCGAAAAGUAUAUUGUCUACCAAGAAUGAUUCUAAUGUGCCUAGAAAUAAAGAUAGUAAUUAGCUGAAUUUGGAUUGUGUCAACAUCUUCUUCCAUCUUUCCACUAAACUAUCGAAAGCUGCUAAAGUGUUAACUGCACACCAAAAUACCUAUCCUCGGUUAUGACGACCGCAAGCUGAUUCCUCUUGUAUGCUUUGAAAUUAUGAUAUAUAUAUAUAUAUAUAUCAUUAUCAUGAAAUGAAAUUUAAUAAAUGCCUUUCUAUAUUUAA